AACGCACCUUGCGCCCCUUGGCAUUCCGAGGGGCACACCCGUUUGAGUGUCGUGAAAUUCUCAAAAACCUUUCUUUGGAAAGGAUUUUGGACUUGGAGGCCUUUUGCUGGUUUCACCUUGAAGCGAGCUCCUCCCAAAUGGAUUAGUGGGGUCUGCUUUGCUGAUCCUUGACGUGAUAAGAUGAUUUCUACGUCUUGGGUUUGGCACUGUCACUUGGGCACCCGCUUCUAACCGUCUUAUAGACAACGAUGGCGUUCCGGUCACCACCGUUUCAUCGGUGGGAGGCUUGACCCACCAAAAAACCUUGACCUCAAAUCGGGUGAGACUACCCGCUGAACUUAA
rnacentral:misc_RNA from 1 species